UGGUUUGACACACCGCUGAGCUGAGCGGUGUCUCACACCAUCCAGUGCAGUGCAGCAACAACGAUAAGCUAAUACAAAAUAAAUUAAAACCAUAUGAAAUUAUUCAAAAUAUACAAAUAUAGAAGACGUUUUCAGUAGCAAAAUGAUCGUUAAUAGUACAGUUAGAUUGAAAAUUAAAAAAUAAGUUAUAAAUUGCCGAAACCCGGGAUUGAACCGGGGACCUUUAGAUCUUCAGUCUAACGCUCUCCCAACUGAGCUAUUUCGGCACUUGGCAAAUUCCUGGCCCCGAACGCAGCAUUUUAAAUGAAAUCCCGUUCAAAUUAUACUAAUCCUGAUUUUAUGGAAUCGAUCUAAACUGAAGCCGAGAUUAGCAGCAGGCUUUCGAUUAAAUGGAAACUUCCCAGAGUUCUGCAUAAAUUACUCCCUUCAUUUAUGAACAAUAGUGGCAUUCACUUGGGCCUAAAUUCCCAUAGCUUUAAAAAUCAAAUAAAUUUAGUUAAAUCAUAAAUAUUUGUGCAUUCUAUUGGCCCACAUUAAAUGGUGGGAAACAGUUCGUUUAUUAAGCGGAGUAUCCAAAUUUGUGGUUUUGGCUAAUGGAUUCAAAAACUGACGUCACUUAAGCAUGGGAAACUUCCAGUGUUUUUGCGGUUUUUCGAUUAUAUGUAUGUAAGUGUGGAAAAUAACUAGCACCUGGGGGGCAAUGCAUUUUAAUUAAGCGAACUGAUAAAACCGAUCGAGCCAAAAUAAGCUCGACUGCAUUGUCCCUUUUCUGUUAGUCAUUUAUUAGCGCGUUCGUUCUGGACAUGGCCGUAAAAAUGCCCGUUGCUAAUCGGCCGGCGAUCAAAAAUAAGACUGCGGAUCAAACCGGUCGAAGGAGGCGGUACUCCACCGCUCACCGCUCACCACUCACCGAUGGCCACUGACCAGUGGCCAGUGACCAGUGACCACUCACCACUUACCAAAUCCUGCGGCAAAUCCGAGUUCUUUGCGCAGUCAAACGCCAAGCAAAAAGUGAAAAACAAUACAUUUAUUGUUUUGUAAUUGGCGCGAAUUCAACGCUCGAGUGACGCUCGAUCGCUUGGAUCGCUUCCAUCUCUUGAGGUCAAGUGUCGAGGAACUGGUGUGUCUGUCGCAACUGCUGCACGUGCCAUGUCGUCCGUAGCUCCACGUCCAUUUCGCUGCCCCAAGGAUCCGGUUCCACACACACACACACGGUGGCACUUAACUGGAGCUGCCAACCGAGGGUUUGGGCCUUGGAAUGCGCGGCUCGUGGGCGUUCAAGCAAGACCAUAAGCAAAAGAAACAGAACACUGCUCCCAGAACGAACCAAAGCCUGGCCACCACCCACCACCCAUCACCCACUGCUCACGUGCACAGAGCGAAAAUUUGGCUAUUUUAUGAGAUUACAUUAUGUGGCCAAGCAUUUGAUUUGCACGACGAUCAAUUCAUUAUUCUCUGUGCACUCGAACUUGAGACUACUAGAGCAGCCCAACCCACCCACUCGACGAGUAGCAAAACCCAACCAACU